UACGUAGGGGGCUAGCGUUGUCCGGAAUCAUUGGGCGUAAAGAGCGUGUAGGCGGCCCGGUAAGUCCGCUGUGAAGGUCGGGGGCUCAACCCUCGAAUGCCGGUGGAUACUGUCGGGCUAGAGUGCGGAAGAGGCGAGUGGAAUUCCUGGUGUAGCGGUGAAAUGCGCAGAUAUCAGGAGGAACACCAAUGGCGAAGGCAGCUCGCUGGGACGUGACUGACGCUGAGACGCGAAAGCGUGGGGAGCAAACAGG
rnacentral:rRNA from 1 species